rnacentral:rRNA from 1 species
UACAGAGGUGGCAAGCGUUGUUCGGAAUUACUGGGCGUAAAGGGCGCGUAGGCGGUUCGUUAAGUCCUGUGUGAAAUCCCCCGGCUCAACUGGGGAACUGCACAGGAAACUAGCGGGCUUGAGUUCGGGAGAGGGAAGCGGAAUUCCGGGUGUAGCGGUGAAAUGCGUAGAUAUCCGGAGGAACACCGGUGGCGAAGGCGGGUCUCUGGGCCGAAACUGACGCUGAGGAGCGAAAGCAUGGGUAGCGAACAGG